rnacentral:rRNA from 1 species
AACGAACGCUGGCGGCAGGCUUAACACAUGCAAGUCGAACGCCCCGCAAGGGGAGUGGCAGACGGGUGAGUAACGCGUGGGAACGUGCCCUUCGCUUCGGAAUAGCCCCGGGAAACUGGGAGUAAUACCGGAUACGCCGUAUUGGGAAAGAUUUAUCGGCGAAGGAUCGGCCCGCGUUGGAUUAGCUAGUUGGAGGUGUAAUGGACCCCCAAGGCUACGAUCCAUAGCUGGUCUGAGAGGAUGAUCAGCCACACUGGGACUGAGACACGGCCCAGACUCAUACGGGAGGCAGCAGUGGGGAAUCUUGGACAAUGGGCGCAAGCCUGAUCCAGCCAUGCCGCGUGAGGGAAGAAGGCCUUAGGGUUGUAAAACUCUUUCGCCGGAGAAGAUAAUGACGGUAUCCGGAGAAGAAGCCCCGGCUAACUUCGUGCCAGCAGCCGCCGUAAAAC